rnacentral:misc_RNA from 1 species
GAUGAAGAACGCAGCGAAAUGCGAUAAGUAAUGCGAAUUGCAGAAUUCCGUGAGUCAUCGAAUCUUUGAACGCACAUUGCGCCCUUUGGCAUUCCGAAGGGCAUGCCUGUUCGAGCGUCAUUUAUCAACCCUCAAGCCCGGCUUGCGGUUGGGUCCCGCCGUGGGCGACCACGGCGGACCCGAAAGGUAAUGGCGGUGCCCGUGGGGCCCUGGACGCAGCGAGCUUCUCGGCACGCGUCCCGGCGGUCCCCGGCGCCGUCUCCACCAAUCCACCACGCAGAUUGACCUCGGAUCAGGUAGGGAUACCCGCUGAACUUAAGCAUAUCAAUAAGCGGAGA